rnacentral:rRNA from 1 species
AGCAGUCGCCACGGUAAUACGGAGGGUGCAAGCGUUAAUCGGAAUUACUGGGCGUAAAGCGCACGCAGGCGGUCUGACAAGUCAGAUGUGAAAUCCCCGGGCUUAACCUGGGAACUGCAUUUGAAACUGUCAGGCUGGAGUCUUGUAGAGGGGGGUGGAAUUCCAGGUGUAGCGGUGAAAUGCGUAGAGAUCUGGAGGAAUACCGGUGGCGAAGGCGGCCCCCUGGACAAAGACUGACGCUCAGGUGCGAAAGCGUGGGGAGCAAACAGGAUUAGAUACCCGGGUAGUCCCUGUCUCUUAUAC